rnacentral:rRNA from 1 species
GUCAUAUGCUUGUCUCAAAGAUUAAGCCAUGCAUGUCUAAGUGCAAGCCAAAUUAAGGUGAAACCGCGAAUGGCUCAUUAAAUCAGUUAUGGUUCCUUAGAUAAUACACCAAGUUACUUGGAUAACUGUGGUAAUUCUAGAGCUAAUACAUGCAAACAGAGUUCCGACUCGAGAGGGGAGGAACGCUUUUAUUAGAUCAAAACCAAUCGGUCGCCGGCUUCCUCCGGGUUGUCGCGCGGUCCGCAUUCGUAUUUGGUGACUCUGAAUAACCACUGAGCAGAUCGCACGGUCUCGUACCGGCGACGCAUCUUUCAAAUGUCUGCCUUAUCAACUGUCGAUGGUAGGCUCUGCGCCUACCAUGGUUGUAACGGGUAACGGGGAAUCAGGGUUCGAUUCCGGAGAGGGAGCCUGAGAAACGGCUACCACAUCCAAGGAAGGCAGCAGGCGCGCAAAUUACCCACUCCCGGCACGGGGAGGUAGUGACGAAAAAUAACGAUACGGGACUCAUCCGAGGCCCCGUAAUCGGAAUGAGCACAACUUAAAUACUUUAACGAGUAUCCAUUGGAGGGCAAGUCUGGUGCCAGCAGCCGCGGUAAUUCCAGCUCCAAUAGCGUAUAUUAAAGUUGUUGCGGUUAAAAAGCUCGUAGUUGGACUUGUGUCCCACGCCGUCAGUUCGUGGCCCGUCUACGUAACUGCACGGUUAUGUGAGUGGGACGUCCAGCCGGUGGGACGUCUGGUCGCGUCGCUGGCCGCGCCCCUUGGCGGUCCACCCGACGUGCGCGGGUCCCGCGUGUCUCCGUGCUCCCGGCGUGUUCCCGCGGCGACGCAAGUCGCCCGGGCUGCCGCGGGGUGCGCGAGUUCGCGCGAAGGCACGCGCCGUAGGAGCCGUCCUCGCAGGGUGUUCGCUGUGUCGGCUCGCGGUGCCGGUCCCAUGUUACUCGUCUCGGUGCUCUUAAUCGAGUGUCUUGACGGGCCGGCUCGUUUACUUUGAACAAAUUAGAGUGCUUAAAGCAGGCUAAUAUACGCCUGAAUAUUGUGUGCAUGGAAUAAUGGAAUAGGAUCUCGGUUCUAUUUUGUUGGUUUUCUGAACCAGAGAUAAUGAUUAAUAGAGACUGACGGGGGCAUUCGUAUUGCGACGUUAGAGGUGAAAUUCUUGGAUCGUCGCAAGACGAACCGAAGCGAAAGCAUUUGCCAAGAAUGCUCUCGUUAAUCAAGAACGAAAGUUAGAGGUUCGAAGGCGAUCAGAUACCGCCCUAGUUCUAACCAUAAACGAUGCCAACUAGCGAUCCGCCGGUGUUCCUCCGAUGACCCGGCGGGCAGCUUCCGGGAAACCAAAGUGUUUGGGUUCCGGGGGAAGUAUGGUUGCAAAGCUGAAACUUAAAGGAAUUGACGGAAGGGCACCACCAGGAGUGGAGCCUGCGGCUUAAUUUGACUCAACACGGGAAACCUCACCAGGCCCGGACACUGGAAGGAUUGACAGAUUGAUAGCUCUUUCUUGAUUCAGUGGGUGGUGGUGCAUGGCCGUUCUUAGUUGGUGGAGCGAUUUGUCUGGUUAAUUCCGAUAACGAACGAGACUCUGGCCUGCUAACUAGUCGCACAUUGACGACAUCCGCAUUCGUGCUGUCGGCGACAAAUAUAAACUCUUCUUAGAGGGACAGGCGGCUUCUAGCCGCACGAGAUUGAGCAAUAACAGGUCUGUGAUGCCCUUAGAUGUUCUGGGCCGCACGCGCGCUACACUGAAGGAAUCAACGUGUGUUUUCCCUUGACCGAGAGGUCCGGGUAACCCGCUGAAACUCCUUCGUGCUAGGGAUCGGGGCUUGCAAUUCUUCCCCGUGAACGAGGAAUUCCCAGUAAGCGCGAGUCAUAAGCUCGCGUUGAUUACGUCCCUGCCCUUUGUACACACCGCCCGUCGCUACUACCGAUUGAAUGAUUUAGUGAGGUCUUCGGACCGUCGCGCGGCGGCGCUCGCAAGAGCCCGUCGAUGUUCGACGGAAAGAUGAUCAAACUUGAUUAUUUAGAGGAAGUAAAAGUCGUAACAAGGUUUCCGUAGGUGAACCUGCGGAAGGAUCAUAU